rnacentral:tRNA from 1 species
UGCAUCGGCCAUGGAUCGAACCCGGGCCGCCCGUGGCAGGCGUGCAUUCUACCACUGAACCACCGAUGG